AUUGAACGCUGGCGGCAGGCUUAACACAUGCAAGUCGAGCGGAGAUGAGGUGCUUGCACCUUAUCUUAGCGGCGGACGGGUGAGUAAUGCUUAGGAAUCUGCCUAUUAGUGGGGGACAACAUUCCGAAAGGAAUGCUAAUACCGCAUACGUCCUACAGGAGAAAGCAGGGGAUCUUCGGACCUUGCGCUAAUAGAUGAGCCUAAGUCGGAUUAGCUAGUUGGUGGGGUAAAGGCCUACCAAGGCGACGAUCUGUAGCGGGUCUGAGAGGAUGAGCCGCCACACUGGGACUGAGACACGGCCCAGACUCCUACGGGAGGCAGCAGUGGGGAAUGUUGGACAAUGGGGGGAACCCUGAUCCAGCCAUGCCGCGUGUGUGAAGAAGGCCUUAUGGUUGUAAAGCACUUUAAGCGAGGAGGAGGCUACUGAGACUAAUACUCUUGGAUAGUGGACGUUACUCGCAGAAUAAGCACCGGCUAACUCUGUGCCAGCCGCCGCAGUAACAC
rnacentral:rRNA from 1 species